CAGUUGUCGUGCCAACGGCAUCGCUGGGUAGCUAUGUCUGGCAGAGAUAACCGCUGAAAGCAUCUAAGUGGGAAACUCGCCUCAAGAUUAGAUCCCUCAUCCCGCUAAGGGAGUAAGGCCGCAGGUAGACCACCUGCUUGAUAGGCGGCAUGUGUAAGCGCAGUAAUGCGUUCAGCUAAGCCGUACUAAUGGCCGAGGGCUUACUCCG
rfam:Chloroflexi bacterium RBG_16_52_11 RBG_16_scaffold_840, whole genome shotgun sequence.